CAUCUUUUAUUAACUUUAAAUUCAUUUUUUUUAACCUUUAUUUUAUCUUGUUUUUGUUUUAUUUAUUUUUAGUCCUUUUAUUUUAUUUUUAAUGUCCAAAAUAAAUCAAAAUUUUUGUCCGAUAAUAUCCAAACACAGCUCAAAACAGGCUGUCAUAUUCCUCUCCAAGCAACAAAUUUUUUGCUCAUCUCAAGCUCUAUAAAGGCAACACGCAAGCAGCCAAGAGAAGGGGGGCCCAACAGACAAAAACAGAGAAUUUCAAUUGCAAGACCUGCAAUCACCAUAUCCAAAACCAAUCACAUAAACAAAAACGAACUCACUUCAAACCUUCAACGAUCCAUAAAACUGUUUCACUCUCACAAAACCUUUUUUCAACAAACAGAACACAACAAACAGUUCCAUUAAACCAAAUCAUACCCAAAUCACCACAAACCCAUAUCACAACCAAAUCAAAUCCGUACAAAACCGAACCUCAUCAACAAACCAACACAGAUCCAGAUCAAGAAAGAAAACAAUAAAAAGGUAGUAACCCUUUUUGUAGAUCUAGGGUCCGUUAAAGCUCAUUUCAAAAAAAACGUUUUCAAAAAAAAAAAGGAGAAAGGAAAGGUUAAUCUUUUGGUAAAAAAAAAAUCAAAAAAAGAGGAGUUUUUGACUCCGGCGCGGUGGCGCCGCCGCGACAACUCGCCGGCCGCCGUGCCGGAAACUGAGUUUCACGGUGGUGUUCUUCAACACUCACCGGAAACUUCAUCAAAAAAAAAAAAAAAAAAGAAGAUAAGAAGAGAGAGAAGAGAGAGUACGUGAGAGAAAAAGAGAGUGAAGAGAGAGAAGAAAAAAAAGAAAUGGGAGAAAAAAGGAAAGAAUGGGUAUUUAUACCCCUCUUCUUCAACAGAUCCAAUCAAGGCCGUUGAUCAAAUCAACGGCCGAGAUUUGUUCCCCAAGGCCCAAUCCUCCUCAUUUUAUUUNUAUGCCCUGAUGAAUGCUUUAACCAUUCAAUAUCCGGUGAGGGCUUCUGCCCUGUAAAUUGGUACCACAUGCAUUGUCGUAUUGUCGCAUUGUCGAGGAGUCUUAGCGGUGUUGUCGAGUAGUUGCAUGAGUCGUUGUUGUUGGUUGUAAUUACCAUUUUUGUUGAUGUUGUUGAUUAUGAAAUAUAUAUUUAUAAUGAAUAACUAUUAUUAUGUUAGGGUGUUAGAUUCAAUUGAUGAAUUUUAUAUCUAUAUUUAUUGUUGUGAAUCUCACCCCUUCUGCUUGAAAAUGUUACCCUUCCUAUGGGUAACUUGCAGGUGAUCCUAAGUAGUAGGUGGUUGCUCAAGUGUCUAGGAAUCUGAUACGUACGGGAUGGGAUUUACUUUAUUUAUUUUUCAUUCCUUAUGUAUCACAUUUUUGGAACAUGCUGAUGUAGCCCUUAUUGUUUUUUGAAUUACUU
rnacentral:lncRNA from 1 species